CCUACGGGCGGCAGCAGUGGGGAAUAUUGGACAAUGGGGGGAACCCUGAUCCAGCCAUGCCGCGUGUGUGAAGAAGGCCCUCGGGUUGUAAAGCACUUUCAGUGAGGAAGAACGCCUGGUGGUUAAUACCCAUCAGGAAAGACAUCACUCACAGAAGAAGCACCGGCUAACUCCGUGCCAGCAGCCGCGGUAAUACGGAGGGUGCGAGCGUUAAUCGGAAUUACUGGGCGUAAAGCGCGCGUAGGUGGCUUGAUAAGCCGGUUGUGAAAGACCCGGGCGCAACCUGGGAACGGCAUCCGGAACUGUCAAGCUAGAGUGCAGGAGAGGAAGGUAGAAUUCCCGGUGUAGCGGUGAAAUGCGUAGAGAUCGGGAGGAAUACCAGUGGCGAAGGCGGCCUUCUGGACUGACACUGACACUGAGGUGCGAAAGCGUGGGUAGCAAACAGGAUUAGAUACCCUUGUAGUC
rnacentral:rRNA from 1 species